rnacentral:piRNA from 1 species
UGUCCUAGAGGUGGGGGCCCAA